GACGAACGCUGGCGGCGUGCUUAACACAUGCAAGUCGAACGGAAAGGCCCUGCUUUUGUGGGGUGCUCGAGUGGCGAACGGGUGAGUAACACGUGAGUAACCUGCCCUUGACUUUGGGAUAACUUCAGGAAACUGGGGCUAAUACCGGAUAGGAGCUCCUGCUGCAUGGUGGGGGUUGGAAAGUUUCGGCGGUUGGGGAUGGACUCGCGGCUUAUCAGCUUGUUGGUGGGGUAGUGGCUUACCAAGGCUUUGACGGGUAGCCGGCCUGAGAGGGUGACCGGCCACAUUGGGACUGAGAUACGGCCCAGACUCCUACGGGAGGCAGCAGUGGGGAAUAUUGCACAAUGGGCGGAAGCCUGAUGCAGCAACGCCGCGUGCGGGAUGACGGCCUUCGGGUCGUAAACCGCCUUCGCCUGUGACGAAGCGUGAGUGACGGUAAUGGGUAAAGAAGCACCGGCUAACUACGUG
rnacentral:rRNA from 1 species